rfam:Trichobilharzia regenti genome assembly, scaffold: TRE_scaffold0001606
AUCCAGAUAGUUGACGAGUCCCAAAUAGGACGAAAUGCACGUCAUCCUGGAU